rnacentral:rRNA from 1 species
ACGCUGGCGGCAGGCCUAACACAUGCAAGUCGAGCGGUAGAGAGAAGCUUGCUUCUCUUGAGAGCGGCGGACGGGUGAGUAAUGCCUAGGAAUCUGCCUGGUAGUGGGGGAUAACGUUCGGAAACGGACGCUAAUACCGCAUACGUCCUACGGGAGAAAGCGGGGGACCUUCGGGCCUUGCGCUAUCAGAUGAGCCUAGGUCGGAUUAGCUAGUUGGUGGGGUAAUGGCUCACCAAGGCGACGAUCCGUAACUGGUCUGAGAGGAUGAUCAGUCACACUGGAACUGAGACACGGUCCAGACUCCUACGGGAGGCAGCAGUGGGGAAUAUUGGACAAUGGGCGAAAGCCUGAUCCAGCCAUGCCGCGUGUGUGAAGAAGGUCUUCGGAUUGUAAAGCACUUUAAGUUGGGAGGAAGGGUUGUAGAUUAAUACUCUGCAAUUUUGACGUUACCGACAGAAUAAGCACCGGCUAACUCUGUGCCAGCAGCCGCGGUAAUACAGAGGGUGCAAGCGUUAAUCGGGAUUACUGGGCGUAAAGCGCGCGUAGGUGGUUAGUUAAGUUGGAUGUGAAAUCUCCGGGCUCAACCUGGGAACUGCAUUCAAAACUGACUGACUAGAGUGUGGUAGAGGGUGGUGGAAUUUCCUGUGUAGCGGUGAAAUGCGUAGAUAUAGGAAGGAACACCAGUGGCGAAGGCGACCACCUGGACCAACACUGACACUGAGGUGCGAAAGCGUGGGGAGCAAAC